rnacentral:rRNA from 1 species
UACGGAGGGUGCAAGCGUUAUCCGGAUUUACUGGGUUAAAGGGUGCGUAGGUGGGUCUGUAAGUCAGUGGUGAAAUCUCCGAGCUUAACUCGGAAACUGCCAUUGAUACUAUAGGUCUUGAAUUAUCUGGAGGUGAGCGGAAUAUGUCAUGUAGCGGUGAAAUGCUUAGAUAUGACAUAGAACACCAAUUGCGAAGGCAGCUCACUACGGAUAUAUUGACACUGAGGCACGAAAGCGUGGGGAUCGAAACAGG